CGUAGGAGACGAGCGUUAUCCGGAUUUACUGGGCGUAAAGCGUGUGCAGGCGGUUCGGCAAGUUGGAUGUGAAAUCUCCCGGCUCAACUGGGAGGGGUCGUUCAAAACUACCGAGCUUGAGGUCAUCAGAGGAAGGUGGAAUUCCGGGUGUAGUGGUGAAAUGCGUAGAUAUCCGGAGGAACACCAGUGGCGAAGGCGGCCUUCUGGGAUGAUCCUGACGCUCAGACACGAAAGCUAGGGGAGCGAACGGGAUUAGAGACCCCGGUAGUCCUAGCUGUAAACGAUGUAGACUUGGCGUCGGAGGGUUCAAAACCUUCGGUGUCGUAGCUAACGCGAUAAGUCUACCGCCUGGGGACUACGGCCGCAAGGUUA
rnacentral:rRNA from 1 species